CGGCAGACGGGAGAGUAACACGCGGGAACGUACCCUUUGGUUCGGAACAACCCAGGGAAACUUGGGCUAAUACCGGAUAAGUCCGUAAGGAGAAAGAUUUAUCGCCAAUGGAUCGGCCCGCGUCUGAUUAGCUAGUUGGUGAGGUAAUGGUUCACCAAGGCGUCGAUCGGUAGCUGGUCUGAGAGGAUGAUCAGCCACACUGGGAUUGAGAACGGCCCAG
rnacentral:rRNA from 1 species